CUGGACGCGUUCUUCCUGCCUCCCGAAGCCGUGCUGGCAGGCUGGCAUCCCUCCCCGCUUCCCCUCGCAUUCCCGCUUCCCCCGGGGUUGGGCGCCUGCCCGCGGUGGCGGCCGGCGCUGGGCGCAGCCCCCGGCCCCCCUUGGCAGCUCGGACCGCCGGGGUGGUGCCUGGUGCCAUCCUUGUCCGUCUCUGCUGCUGUACAGCCAGGGCUGUGAGGUCCUGCCUGGCAUCUCAGGGUGGGCAGAGCCACGCUGGGGCCGCGGCACACACCGCUGCCUGCACGGGUGGCACCCGCAGGUGUUCGUGUUGCUGACUCCCUCAAGGGCUUUCAUCUGCAGCGACGGUUGAGGUGGGCUGUGUACUUAGGCUUUAUGGUGGAGUCAACAAAGUAGGUCUCUGCCCUCUGAGCUGGCUCUUGGGGGCUUUUUGGGAGGAAUCAACUUACGGAACCACAAGUAACCAGUCUUCAGGUUUUAGCUUGUCUUGUACUUGUUUGCCUCUGCUACUCUAAUGGCCUUGUUUGAUCUUCUGAUGAACACCUUCUGGAGUGCGGGGCUAUGUGCCUUCUCAGAGAGUAGGUGUUCCUCAGCUACCACGUAGCUUGUUUGAGUGGCCUCUCUAAAACAAACCUGAUAACAGCACUUGUCUCUGGCACCACGGUGUGCAUGUUCAGGAGGCCACCGUGAGGAACUUCUAAAUUACUCCUUUUCUCCUAAAGUGUAUUCUCAAAAACAGGGCUGUGAUAAGCAGCUGCUCUCAGUUUUGACCACCUGAGGAUGGACAGUGUGUUUUGCUUCUCAUUCACACCCUUUUUAACUCUGUCAACCUUCCCCUCUGUUUCUUCUGUCCACUAGCUCUUCCAAGCUCAAUUUGGGACGAUGGUGCAGAGACCCAGGAGGCCAUGUAAAAAAAAGGACGUGCUCUCAGAGCCUCGUCUUGGGAGCCUUGCCUUCAGUGCAGGUGGGAGGGAUGGCAGUGCUGCUCUGGCAGUGCUCCUUUUGGAGUGCCAUGAACCACGAGGCAAGCUGAGCUGGCAUGUACUUUCCCCUCUGCUGUGAGGGGAAGGAGCAGAUGAGGAGGAAAUGCAGCUGUUCCAGAGCACUUCUGCCCUCUGUCCAAAGGGAGCACGUGAGGGGGGAGGACAGACGCAGAAAGGGAGAUUCAGGAAGAGAGUAUGGGGGGUUGGGGAGGGACGAGAGGAAAGCUACAAAUGGAGAGGAAAAGCUCUUCAUGUAUGCACAAAUGUUAUUUAAAUAUUUGUUUAGCUAGAAUGAGAGCAAAUAGCCUAAAAUUACGAGAUUGUAUCUCUUGAAUCCCUGUUAUUGUUCCUCCAGAAAGUGCUGCUUUUCGUUCCUCGAUUAUUAUGUGUGUCUUUCUGCCUCACUCUUCUAGGCUCUUCAGCAUUCUCUGACCUCAAGCUGAGCAGGACGCUGCCCUUGGCAUCUGUUUGUCAAAUGUGUAUUCUCUGUGUUGUACAUGAAAUGAUUAUUUCCAUAGUUGGUUAAGGCAAGUUUCUGAGGAAUGUGAAGCAAGAGGCACGCCAGUUCCUGUGGCUGGCCUUGACUGGAGUGCAGGCAUUUUGGGACAGGGGCUGUGCCUGGAGACUCUAGUUACUCUGUGUGUUAUCCUGGGCAGCUUAGAGAUUCCUGCCUCUGCUCCUGUCCCUCCCACCCUUCUCUUAGGUCUUAUUGCUGCUCACCUGUUCCUCUGCCUGUGCUGCAGCUGCUUUGGCCUCUCACAGUUACCUGUGGGGCUGUGCUGAAAAGCUCUGAAGUUUGAGUAAGGAGAAAAAGAGAGAGCAGCUACUCCCUUGUCUGUAGAGAAUCCCCUCUCAGCCCUGUGCUGACUCUCCCCUGCAACCUGCUUUGAGACCCCUCACCCCAACAACUGGCAGUUAAAGCAGUCAAAGCUCUCUAAUCCUAUUUACUGCUCCUGCCUUGCUAUUUCUUCUGAAAUUACACUUUUAACUUUCUCCAGGAUUAGUUUACUCUCUGAAUGGCAUCAGGUAGUAAGGUACUGUCUUUGGGGACUGCAUGGCUACAAGACUACUAAACUUUUUUUUUUUUUUUUUAAAUGGAUAACCCAGUUACCUACCCCAGCAGGGUUUCAUUGCUUUUACCUGUGUAGUACAGUCAGAAAUGGAAGUGUGCACCUAAGAAAAGGUAUUGGCUAUGGAUGGAGAAAUUUCCCACCUAUGAUAACAGCUAUGGUCUUUACACCUGAUGAUCUCCAGACCCCGAAAAAGCUGCUGAGAAGCACGAGCAAUGCUAAUCCCUUUGAGAAGGGAGCAUGCUGGAGUAUUUCUCUCCAUUAUGUACACUGCAUAAAGUUCUAACAGCUAUUUAGUGUUCUACCCUGCUUGUAUAAACCCAUCUGCUUUGUGGGGAGAAAAGUGUAUGUUGAUGUUGUCUGACAUUUGUGACAUGAUAGAAAGGCAUAGGGUUCCUUUGGAACACAUGUAUUGUUGAUGGUGUACAUAUACAAUUUAGUAAAAUGUCUUUAUGCAGCAGCUUUGAGAAAUGUUCUGUGCUUUUAACUACCUUGAAUCUUCAUCUGGUUAAUGGACUCGUGUAUAGAAACCAUAUAAAAUAAUGAUGCAGCAGAAGGGUGCGUUUCUUUAAAGUUUAUGCUUUUGCCAAGGUAAACAUAUCUUAAUUACAGCUUUGUCACAAUAAUGAAGUGUUAUCAAAAUUUAAAUCUAAUUAAAUACUUUUGUGUUCUUUCUA